GUCGUGAGAUGUUGGGUUAAGUCCCGCAACGAGCGCAACCCCCGCUCCCAGUUGCCAGCGCGUCAUGGCGGGGACUCUGGGAGGACUGCCGGUGCCAAACCGGAGGAAGGUGGGGACGACGUCAAGUCAUCAUGGCCCUUACGUCCAGGGCUACACACGUGCUACAAUGGGUCGUACAGAGGGAUGCGAAGCCGCGAGGUGAAGCCAAUCCCAGAAAGCGACCCUCAGUUCGGAUUGCAGUCUGCAACUCGACUGCAUGAAGCUGGAAUCGCUAGUAAUCGUGGAUCAGCUACGCCACGGUGAAUACGUUCCCGGGCCUUGUACACACCGCCCGUCACGCCAUGGAAGCUCGGAGCGCCCGAAGUCGGUGCCGCAACCCGCAAGGGGGCAAGCCGCCGAAGGCGAGCCGGGUGACUGGGGCGAAGUCGUAACAAGGUAGCCGUAGGGGAACCUGCGGCUGGAUCACCUCCUUUCCGGAGCGACGAGUAGGGCGAAAAUCGCGCAAGCGACUUCACUCGAAAGUUCUCGGAAUUUGUCGCUCGCUUCGUACAACCUGAUCUCAAUCGAUUGUGGCGUUUCAUGCUCUUCGGAGCGUGAGACGCCACUGCUAUUUGACAACGGAAAUUGGUGUAGAUCGUGGGAUUAUGGGUCUUGAGCUCGCAAGAGUUUGAGGCCUGUAGCGAAUCGUCACGAGACGUCAAUGACGUCUUGUACGCAGUAAUUGUUAGAUCGUAGGUGCUCUGCUUGAGUACACAUGGAUCAUGUAGUCAAGCGAGCGAAGGCAUGUGGGGAAUGCCUGGGCACACGGAGGCGAUGAAGGCCGCGGUAAGCUGCGAAAAGCCGGGGGGAGGCGCACACAGCCUGUGAGUCCCGGAUGG
rnacentral:sRNA from 1 species